UACGGGGGGGGCAAGCGUUGUUCGGAAUUACUGGGCGUAAAGGGCUCGUAGGCGGCCAACUAAGUCAGACGUGAAAUCCCUCGGCUUAACCGGGGAACUGCGUCUGAUACUGAGAAGCUUGAGUCCGGGAGAGGUGAGUGGAACUGCGAGUGUAGAGGUGAAAUUCGUAGAUAUUCGCAAGAACACCAGUGGCGAAGGCGGCCUGCUGGGCAGUUUAGCUGACACUGAGGCGCGACAGCGUGGGGAGCAAACAGG
rnacentral:rRNA from 1 species